ACAUGCCUACAACAUAGCAUUAAUGCACUAGAUCCCAUUAGAACUCCAUAAUUAAGUGCACUCAGGAUAGAGUAGUAUUGGGAUGGGUGACCACCCGGGAAGUCUUAGUGUUUUACAUGCC
rnacentral:rRNA from 1 species